rnacentral:rRNA from 1 species
UACGUAGGGGGCUAGCGUUGUCCGGAAUCAUUGGGCGUAAAGAGCGCGUAGGCGGCCAGAUAAGUCCGGUGUGAAAGUCACAGGCUCAACCUGUGAAUGCCGCUGGAAACUGUCUGGCUUGAGUCCGGAAGGGGCGAGUGGAAUUCCUGGUGUAGCGGUGAAAUGCGCAGAUAUCAGGAGGAACACCAAUGGCGAAGGCAGCUCGCUGGAACGGUACUGACGCUGAGGCGCGAAAGCGUGGGGAGCGAACAGG